CCUCUCGGCCGAAUAUCCAAGGUUUCCAGGGUAAAGCUGAUCUGCCCUGGGUAAGUCGGGGCCUAAGGAGAGGCAGAAAUGCGUAUCCGAUGGACAGCAGGUUGAGAUUCCUGCACUAUCUUAAAACAGAACUGUGGGGACAUUUGUGGAGAGCACAGGCGCGGAACGGAAAGCCGCGUGCAAGCGAAGGAGGAGUCACAUAGGAAAAACCGUGUGGCAAUCCAGAGGCGUGAUGCGGACCGAGCUAAAGUAGGGAAGUGUGUGAGCCAUGAAUCAAGAAAAGCCGCUAUUGUUCUUAAGAUACCCGUACCGUAAACCGACACAGGUGGAUGAGGAGAGAAUCCUAAGGCCGGCGGAAGAAGCAUUGUUAAGGAACUCGGCAAAAUGACCCCGUAACUUCGGGAGAAGGGGUGCCAACGAGAGUUGCCGCAGAGAAUAGGCUCAAGCAACUGUUUAGCAAAAACACAGGUCUAUGCAAAACCGUAAGGUGAGGUAUAUGGGCUGACGCCUGCCCGGUGCUGGAAGGUUAAGAGGAGAGGUUAGCGUAAGCGAAGCUUUGAAUUUAAGCCCCAGUAAACGGCGGCCGUAACUAUAACGGUCCUAAGGUAGCGAAAUUCCUUGUCGGGUAAGUUCCGACCCGCACGAAAGGCGUAAUGAUUUGAGCGCUGUCUCGACAAUGCAUCCGGUGAAAUUGAAGUACCAGUGAAGAUGCUGGUUACCCGCGCCAGGACGGAAAGACCCCAUGGAGCUUUACUCCAGUUUGGUACUGGGGUCCGGCAGUGCAUGUACAGGAUAGGUGGAGGCUUUGAACCUGGAACGCCAGUUUCAGGGGAGCCGGUGUUGGGAUACCACCCUUGUGCUGCUGGGCUUCUAACCAGCGGCCUUUAUCAGGCCGGGGGACAAUGCCAGACGGGGAGUUUGACUGGGGCGGUCGCCUCCGAAAGGGUAUCGGAGGCGCUCAAAGGUUCCCUCAGAAUGGUCGGAAACCAUUCGAAGAGUGCAAAGGCGGAAGGGAGCUUGACUGCGACACCGACGGGUGGAGCAGGUACGAAAGUAGGACUUAGUGAUCCGGUGGUAUUAAGUGGGAAUGCCAUCGCUCAACGGAUAAAAGCUACCCUGGGAUAACAGGCUUAUCACUCCCAAGAGUUCACAUCGACGGAGUGGUUUGGCACCUCGAUGUCGGCUCAUCGCAUCCUGGGGCUGUAGUAGGUCCCAAGGGUUGGGCUGUUCGCCCAUUAAAGCGGUACGCGAGCUGGGUUCAGAACGUCGUGAGACAGUUCGGUCCCUAUCCGGCGUGGGCGUAGGAUAUUUGAGAGGAGCUGUCCUUAGUACGAGAGGACCGGGAUGGACUGACCUCUGGUGUACCGGUUGAACCGCCAGGUUCACGGCCGGGUAGCCAAGUCGGGAAGGGAUAAACGCUGAAGGCAUCUAAGCGUGAAGCCCCCCUCAAGAUGAGAUAUCCCAUUCGAAAGAAGUAAGACCCCUUGAAGACGACGAGGUAGAUAGGGCAGGGGUGGAAGUGCCGUAAGGCAUGGAGCUGACUGUUACUAAUCGGUCGAGGGCUUGACC
rnacentral:rRNA from 1 species